UUAGCAUGGAAUAAUGGAUAGGACGGUAUGGUUCUAUUUUGUUGGUUUCUAGGACCAUCGUAAUGAUUAAUAGGGACGGUCGGGGGCAUCAGUAUUCAGUUGUCAGAGGUGAAAUUCUUGGAUUUAUUGAAGACUAACUACUGCGAAAGCAUUUACCAAGGACGUUUUCAUUAAUCAAGAACGAAAGUUAGGGGAUCGAAGAUGAUCAGAUACCGUCGUAGUCUUAACCAUCAACUAUGCCGACUAGGGAUCGGGUGGUGGUCAUUUAAUGACCCCCUCGGCACCUUACGAGAAAUCAAAGUUUUUGGGUUCCGGGGGGAGUAUGGUCGCAAGGCUGAAACUUAAAGGAAUUGACGGAAGGGCACCACCAGGAGUGAGCUGCGUCGCUUAAUUUACUCUAACCAAGGGAAACUCACCAGGUCCAGA
rnacentral:rRNA from 1 species